UAUCCCAAGGUCUCCCCUCCUCUCUAUCUCUCAACAUGUCUUAAACCUCUGUUUGAGGCCCGAGAGACCGCUGGGAAAGAGGAAAAAAAUAGGAAAUUUGUAGGAAAUUUUGGCUGCUUUGUCCUACUUUGAGAAGUCAAAGGUUGCGUUUAAACAAAUCCAAAACAGCAUGGAUCGAUCCUCUUCUGGUGUGAAUUUAUUAACAGAAACCCACCAACUCCGCCAUUGUUGUUCCCAGAAAGGAAAAAUCAUGGGUUUCGGAAAGGAGGAUCUUGAUUUAGUGUUGGCCCCUGCUUCGUCCCCUGUUUUUCUCCUCUUUUUCCGAUUCGAUUCCUCUAAAUUCGACUGCUCCGCUUUCGUCCUCUUCGUUCUCAUCCGAUUCCGGUAUGGGAUUGAACCGAGCAUCGGAGGUGGGGGACAUCAAAGGCUCAUCGUCGUUGUACACUCUCAAGCACUUGGUUUAGACAUCUUGGGCACUUGGUUUGGGAAAAGAAGGUUUUGGGUCAGCCUGGUUUUUUGUUAUUUGGGUGUAGAAUGAGUGAAGGGUUUCGCAUCGGAGUCUUAGAGUUUGAACGGUGACGCCGAAGGAUGGUGGAACAGAGGGUGAUGCGGGAUUUUUUUUUCUGGUUUGAGCAAUGGAAGAACCGAAGAAGGGAUUUUUUUUUCGCCUUUUAGCAAUGGAAGAACGAGGGUGAUGCUUUUGAUGCGGCAGUUUUUACGCCUUUGAUUUUUUUUAAAAGCGUCUGACAGGAAAAAAAGAAAAAAAAGAAAAAAGAAAAAGGAUACAACGUGUCCCUUCCCUCGUCAUUGCCUGCCUCUCCUUCAGGCUUUAGGGUUCAGCCCCCCACCUCUGUUUAGCAGCCGCCCGGAGAUCUCUCUCCGAAGUCCCAACUGUCCAAUUUUUCUUUCCUAUUGUAGAGCCUGAAUCUAACGUACGUUUGCUGCGAGUAUUGCCUGGUGGAUCUCUGUUGCAACUUGCAACCUUCAAAAACUCAACAAUCAAGCCUGCAGUGAAUUCCACCUGAAAUAUGAGUCGCCUUGGUUUUCAACUCUUUCGCGCGUCCAUUAAAAGGACUGGAGCUGCCACGUCCAGGAGGCAGACUGCCUUGAGAUAUAUUUCUAGUGGGCCAUCAAUAGGGUGGGGUGUUAAUUCUCCAAUUCCGGUAGAGUUAUGCUUUAUUCCAUUUCGGCUACUUGGGCCUCCAGAAGUCCGUCGCUCCCCAUUUAUUGUGAAUUCAUUUCUAGAUGACAAGCGAGAAGAUGAACUAGAAGAUGAAUCAGACGAUGAACUAGUAUAUCAAGUAGGCUUUGAUGAAAAUCCAUGUUUUACUCUUUUUAGAACGUUUAUACAUAAAGAGAGAUCGUGUAAUUGUCUGUUUCUACGACGAGAUGAUCAUCUGCAUUACGCUUUGGAUUUGUCUUGGCGUCACUGUCCGCAAACCACUCUUGAACUCAUUUGCCACUUGAAGAACACCACUCGUUUAGGCAAACUUAGAAGAGAGGAUUUCUACACAGCAGCUCUGUGGCUCCACCGUCACCACUCUGAAACAUUAGCUUACAACGUGAGGGAAUUUGCCAGAUUUGGGUGUUUGAAAGACUUUCUGGAAAUUCUCUACCGGAUUGUCAAUGGGCCACAAGUUCGGCACAACCAAAUGAUGGUGAGAAUGAGAGUUAGGAAAGCAAAGAGGAGAAAGCAAGGAAAGAUAACCAAGCCUAGAGUACUAAUAUUGCAAGAAACGAGAAUUACGAGAACAAACAAGGCCAUUGGGAGGUACAACUGCGAUCCAAAAUACCGUUUCUUACACGACCAGAUUUCCAAUCUUUUUGCCGAGCUUCUUAAAGCCGACCUUGAGUACCUGAUUUCUGGGCAGGUAGCAAAAAUCAGUUUGGCUUCAAAAUGGUGCCCUUCUCUUUACUCUUCCUAUGAUCGUUCAACUUUAUUUUGUGAGAGUGUUGCAAGGAAGCUUUUUCCACGUGAUGCUUGUCCUGAAUAUAGAGAGAUCGAUGAGGCCCACUAUGCUUACAGAGUUCGAGAUCGAUUGCGGAAACAAGUUUUGGUCCCACUUCGCAGAGCCCUAGAGUUGCCAGAAAUUUACAUGAGUGCCAAUCAAUGGAACUUGCUUCGAUACGAUCGGAUUACAUCUAAAGCCAUGAAAACUUACAAGCGUUUGUUCUAUAAACAUGAUGAACAUCGGUUUUCUCAGCACCUAUUUCUAAAUGUGAAUUCUCCUAAAAAAAUGCCAAAAACCACUAACAAAGAAUUGCUUCCUUAUGAGAUAUUAAGGUCGUUCUUUCAUCAUCGUACUAUUCAUGCUGAGCUACAAUGGAAAAGAAUGAUCGAUACCUACUGUAGCAAAGGAAAGUUUGUAAACUGCGUUUCUGUCGUUCAUACUUCCGUGUUUUGCAUGGGAUCUAGUACUUAUACAAAAAAAUUCUGCAUCGCAUUCACAUUGAUGACAUCUGAACUCUGUGCGAGCCCAUGGAGGGGAAAGAUGUUGACACAUAGUAAAAAACCUGAGUUUGUGAACAUUGAAGGAGAUGAUCUUGGAUCAAGGAUAAGUUCUUUGAGAUAUCAAGCAAUGGGUGAAUCCCUGGAGCUCAUACAGUUGUUGGAUAAAAUUUUGGAAACUGCAAAAGAUUUGAAGUUGGCUAAGGAGAAUAUGAUUGAAAGGGUUUUCGUGUUUGAUCAUUCUAUCAUUCAUAGCAAUUUUUCUAUCGAUUGGGAGGAGGAUUAUGGGGCAAUGGAGGAGAAGUAUAAAAGGAAUGGGUAUGUGAUGCCAAAGAUUGUGUGCUGGCAUCAUCGGGUAUUGAAUGCAUCUCCGAGAGUCUCAGUUAAGGGUGGCAUAACUAAAAUAGUAGGCGGAUUAGAGGCAAGUUUUAGAAUUUUCUUGGAGAGUGAUGGGAUCUUGAGUCCAACGGUUGGGAUGGAAUCAGAAAUAUGCAGUGAAGAUUACCCGAGAUUUGUGGUGCGUGAUUAAUCUUGUAUUCUUCAAGAUUUUAUUAUUUUCUCUCCGGCAAACCCUCGUAUAAUCCUUGUGGACAUAGCAGACUCAGAGAGAUAUUCUUAAAGCAGGACAACCUUAUCCAAGGUGGAUCUCUGUUUCAAGUUGCAACCUUCAAAAACUCAACAAUAUUCAAGCCUGCAGUGAAUUCCAAAAGCCGUUUCAAUCCCACAAUCUUUUCUUUCCACUCCACGCCUCCUAAAGACACAUACUUGCAGUAUGUUUGGCCUGAGAAGGGUUUUCCAAUCCUUCAAGAUGACUUCAAUAUUUUGUCGUUCCUUUGCCCAUCGUCACUUCACUACUCAAUCUCCCACGAGCCGAAUCCUGUUCUUUGUCGAUCAGCCUCAACAGUGGGAGAAAUACUUGUACUCCGCAGAAAUAAAAAAUGGUGGAACCCUAGGCCCUGCCAUUAGGUUACCCCCAAUUCCCGUUGAAAGUUUUUCCAGGGACAGUUUCCAAUUCUGUAAUGGCUUGUUCUGCGUUCCCAGGUGCGAUAAUCAGGUACCCAUCUUUAGUCCCGACACCGGAGAGGUCUCCACUCUUCCCGAUAACCCUGGGCAAUACGGGCGUUGGGGGUGGUUUGAUCGAUUCUUUGGGUUUGAUCCUUCGUCCAACAAGCAUAAGGUUCUCCUUGUUCAUGCUCAAUUGUGGCUUUUCUGGAUUUUUACUCUGGGUAGCGGGUCAUGGAGACAGAUACACGCUGUUCCACCUGAACAAGUAUUUUAUGUUCCGUUCCAUUCUAAGGAGGUUGUUUAUGCUAAUGGCGCAAUUCAUUGGAUUUUUUUGGGUUCUGAAUCUAGGGAUUGGCUAUUUUAUCGUGGCGGAAGUUGUCUGCACGAGAAAUGUAUAUUAGCUUUUGAUAUGGUGGAGGAACAAUUUAGAAAGAUUCCUUUUCCUGAUGAUCUAUCGUUCCCUGCAUAUCUGGCUGAAUUUGGUGGACGUUUGGCUUUGAUGGAAGAGUUUGUAUUGUGGAAGAGGAAGAGCUUGGGGUACGAUGUCGUGGAGUACGAUAAGCUGCAGUGUUGGGUAUUGGAGGACUGCAAGAAUCCCACUUGGGUUAAGGAAACAGUUCAUUUACCUUUUGGAUGGAUGAGGCAUAAUAAAGUUCUUGCCUUCAACAAUAACACCGGCGAGAUGUUGCUAACAUCGGCGAAUAUGCGUUGGGGUGAAUCCAACGUUAAAUGCUUACUCUAUUAUAAUACGAAGACGGGAAUUUUUCGGAGGCCCAAAGUCACCGGUAAAAUCACUGAAUUCUUUGAAAUUCCUAAAAAGGGCUGUGGGAGAGCUGGGCGCGACAAACACUAUGAUUUGUUUGUCAUUGACGCUUCAUUCGACGAGAAAAAAGUUUUAAAUUAAAAUAAUUAAAAAAGAGUCAAAUAACAAGUCUAGAUGGCUUUCGCCCCCAUAAACAAUCGUAUCCAUCCCACUUAUGGCGGCCGGUGUAUUUAAUUAAAAGCUUAAUAGAGGCAAACUAAUUAUCAUAUUUUUAUAAUAAAGUCUCUUAAUUGCUUUCAUGUA